rnacentral:rRNA from 1 species
UGCGUAGGUGGUCUUUUAAGUCGGAUGUGAAAUCCCUGAGCUUAACUUAGGAAUUGCAUUCGAUACUGGGAGACUAGAGUAUGGGAGAGGAUGGUAGAAUUCCAGGUGUAGCGGUGAAAUGCGUAGAGAUCUGGAGGAAUACCGAUGGCGAAGGCAGCCAUCUGGCCUAAUACUGACACUGAGGCACGAAAGCAUGGGGAGCAAACA